GACGAACGCUGGCGGCGUGCCUAAUACAUGCAAGUCGAACGCAGUGGGGACGGGUGAGUAACACGUGGGUAACCUCCCAUCAGAGGGGAUAACCCUUGGAAACCGGUGCUAAACCGAUACUGAUUGAUGGACCCGCGGUGCAUUAGCUAGUUGGUGAGGUAACGGCUCACCAAGGCCACGAUGCAUAGCCUAGCUGGGAGGGUGAUCGGCCACAAUGGGACUGAGACACGGCCCAGACUCCGACGGGAGGCAGCAGUAGGGAAUCUUCGGCAAUGGACGAAAGUCUGACCGAGCAACGCCGCGUGAGUGAAGAAGGUUUUCGGAUCGUAAAACGCUGUUGUUAGAGAAGCGGUAACUAAAGAGAAAGCAACGGCUAACUACGUGCCAGCAGCCGCGGUAAUAG
rnacentral:rRNA from 1 species